rnacentral:rRNA from 1 species
GUGCCAGCCGCCGCGGUAAUACUGGCAGCCCGAGUGAUGGCCGAUCUUAUUGGGCCUAAAGCGUCCGUAGCUGGCUGCGCAAGUCCGUCGGGAAAUCCACUCGCCCAACGAGUGGGCGUCCGGUGGAAACUGUUUGGCUUGGGGCCAGAAGACCUGAGGGGUACGUCCGGGGUAGGAGUGAAAUCCUAUAAUCCUGGACGGACCACCAAUGGGGAAACCACCUCAGGAGGAUGGACCCGACAGUGAGGGACGAAAGCUAGGGUCUCGAACCGGAUUAGAUACCCGAGUAGUCC